GAUGAACGCUAGCUACAGGCUUAACACAUGCAAGUCGCGGGGCAGCAUGGGGGUUGCUUGCAAUCCCCGAUGGCGACCGGCGCACGGGUGAGUAACGCGUAUCCAACCUGCCCUUCACCACGGGAUAACCCGGCGAAAGUCGGACUAAUACCGUAUGUUGUCCAUUGACGGCAUCCGAUUUGGACGAAAGGUUUGGCGGUGAAGGAUGGGGAUGCGUCCGAUUAGCUGGACGGCGGGGUGACGGCCCACCGUGGCGACGAUCGGUAGGGGUUCUGAGAGGAAGGUCCCCCACACUGGAACUGAGACACGGUCCAGACUCCUACGGGAGGCAGCAGUGAGGAAUAUUGGUCAAUGGGCGUAAGCCUGAACCAGCCAAGUAGCGCGCAGGAUGACGGCCCUAUGGGUUGUAAACUGCUUUUAUGCGGGGAUAAAGUGGCCCACGUGGGGGUUUUUGCAGGUACCGCAUGAAUAAGGACCGGCUAAUUCCGU
rnacentral:rRNA from 1 species